rnacentral:rRNA from 1 species
GUAGGGAAUCUUCCGCAAUGGACGCAAGUCUGACGGAGCAACGCCGCGUGAGUGACGAAGGUUUUCGGAUCGUAAAACUCUGUUGUGAGGGAAGAACACGUACCAACUAACUAUUGGUACCUUGACGGUACCUCACCAGAAAGCCACGGCUAACUACGUGCCAGCAGCCGCGGUAAUACGUAGGUGGCAAGCGAUGUCCGGAAUUAUUGGGCGUAAAGCGCGCGCAGGCGGAUCCUUAAGUCUGAUGUAAAAGCCCACGGCUCAACCGUGGCGGGUCAUUAUAAACUGGAGAACUUGAGUGCAGAAGAGGAAAGGGGAAUUCCACGUGUAGCUGUGAAAUGCGGAGAGAUGUGGAGGAACACCAGGGGCAAAGGCGACUUUCUGGUCUGUAACUGACGCUGAGGCGCGAAAGCGUGGGGAGCAAACAGGAUUAGAAACCCGUGUAGUCC